rnacentral:rRNA from 1 species
CCUACGGGAGGCAGCAGUGAGGAAUAUUGGUCAAUGGGCGCGAGCCUGAACCAGCCAAGUAGCGUGCAGGAUGACUGCCCUACGGGUUGUAAACUGCUUUUAUACGCGAGUAAUAUGCUGUUAACUUAUGACUAAGGAUCGGCUAACUACGUGCCAGCAGCCGCGGUCAUACGUAGGAUCCGCGCAUUAUCCGGAGUGACUGGGUGUAAAGAGUUGCGUUGGUGGGAUAAUAAGUAGCUAGGGGAAUCUGGUGGCUCAAACAUUCAGACUAUUAGGUAAACUGGUAAGCUCGAGACCGUUAGGGGUAACUGGAAUUUCUAGUGUAGGGGUGAAAUCCGUAGAUAUGAGAAGGAACACCAAUAGCGUAGGCAGGUUGCUGGGACGGUUCUGACACUAAGGCACGAAAGCGUAGGGAGCAAACGGGAUUAGAUACCCGGGUAGUC